UGACAUUGUUUGACAAGUCUGCUAUGAA
rnacentral:piRNA from 1 species